GAUGAACGCUAGCUACAGGCUUAACACAUGCAAGUCGAGGGGUAACGAGAGGAAAGCUUGCUUUCCUUGUCGACGACCGGCGCACGGGUGAGUAACGCGUAUCCAACCUGCCCCCAACUAAGGAAUAACCUUGCGAAAGUAAGACUAAUACCUUAUAAUUUCCUCAGAUGUCAUCUGACGAGGAAUAAAGAUUUAUCGGUUGUGGAUGGGGAUGCGUCUGAUUAGCUUGCUGGCGGGGUAACGGCCCACCAAGGCAACGAUCAGUAGGGGUUCUGAGAGGAAGGUCCCCCACAUUGGAACUGAGACACGGUCCAAACUCCUACGGGAGGCAGCAGUGAGGAAUAUUGGUCAAUGGGCGGAAGCCUGAACCAGCCAAGUAGCGUGCAGGAUGACGGCCCUAUGGGUUGUAAACUGCUUUUAUACAGGAAUAAAGUUAGCCACGUGUGGUUAUUUGUAGGUACUGUAUGAAUAAGGACCGGCUAAUUCCGUGCCAGCAGCCGCCGCAG
rnacentral:rRNA from 1 species